CGACAUCACGUACAGUGACAUCAAUAUAUUACAUCAACAACCAACCAGCCACCACAGAGAGAGGGAUCCACCUACAGUGUACUCAGCAGUGAGAACUGACGGCGCCAGUUAUGAACAAAUCAUCAUCAAAGAGAAGCGAAACAAGUCAAAGAUCAGAGAGAGCGAUCCAGCUGCAGUCUACUCAGCAGUGAGAACAGAAGACAUCAGUUAUGGGCAGAUAACCAGCAGACCAAAGAAGAGCAGAGACUUUAAACCAGAGCCAGACGUCGUCUACUCUUACCUGAAGUAGUCCACCAGUCCAACCACUGACGUCCAGCUGCUGCUCCCCAGAGUACCUCAGAGUACGCCCACACGUUCAAAGCAUUUAUAUUUUAAUCUCUUUAUGAUAAAAUUGACCCACAUGACUCAAAAAUCUCAUCCUAUUUUAUCUGGAGUGUAAAAGUGUUUU